rnacentral:rRNA from 2 species
ACGGGGUGCAGCAGGCGCGAAACCUUUGCAAUGUGCGAAAGCACGACAAGGUUAAUCCGAGUGUCUCCCGCUAAGGGAGUCUUUUGUCAGUUCUAGAACCACUGGUGAAUAAGGGGUGGGCAAGUUCUGGUGUCAGCCGCCGCGGUAAAACCAGCACCUCGAGUGGUCAGGAGGUUUAUUGGGCCUAAAGCAUCCGUAGCCGGUUGCAUAAGUUUUCGGUUAAAUCUAUGCGCUUAACGUAUAGGCCGCCGAAAAUACUGUGCAGCUAGGGAGUGGGAGAGGUACAGGGUACUCGAUAGGAAGGGGUAAAAUCCUUUGAUCUAUUGAUGACCACCUGUGGCGAAGGCGGUGUACCAGAACACGUUCGACGGUGAGGGAUGAAAGCUGGGGGAGCAAACCGGAUUAGAUACCCGGGUAGUCCCAGCUGUAAACGAUGCAGACUCGGUGAUGCAUUGGCUUGUGGCCAAUGCAGUGCCGCAGGGAAGCCGUUAAGUCUGCCGCCUGGGAAGUACGUACGCAAGUAUGAAACUUAAAGGAAUUGCCGGGGGAGCAC